rnacentral:rRNA from 1 species
AUUGAACGCUGGCGGCAGGCCUAACACAUGCAAGUCGAGCGAGCGGCGGACGGGUGAGGAAUGUAUGGGGACUGCCCGAUAGAGGGGGAUAACUACUGGAAACGGUGGCUAAUACCGCAUACUAUCGGAUCACCGAUAUGGGAUUGGCUAGUAGGUGGGGUAAAGGCUCACCUAGGCGACGAUCGCUAGCUGGUCUGAGAGGAUGAUCAGCCCAACUGGGUCGGAUACACGGCCCAGACUCCUACGGAGGCAGCAGUGGGGACUUUUGCACAAUGGGGGAAAGCCUGAUGCAGCCAUGCCGCGUGUAUGAAGAAGGCCUUAGGGUUGUAAAGUACUUUCGGCGGGGAGGCGUUACCCGCAGAAGAAGCACCGGCUAACUCCGUGCCAGCAGCCGCGGUAAUUC